AACGUAGGACGCAAGCGUUAUCCGGAGUUACUGGGCGUAAAGCGCGGGCAGGCGGUCACUCAAGUCUGAUGUGAAAUCUCCCCGCUCAACGGGGAGCAGCCAUUGGAAACUGGGCGACUGGAGUCUGACAGAGGUAGGCGGAAUUCCGGGUGGAGUGGUGAAAUGCGUAGAUAUCACUUGGAACGCCAAUGGUGAAAACAGCUCGCUGGGAGUGAUCUGACACUGAGACGCGAAAGCCAGGGGAGCGAACGGG
rnacentral:rRNA from 1 species